rnacentral:rRNA from 1 species
UACGGGGGGGGCAAGCGUUGUUCGGAAUUACUGGGCGUAAAGGGCUCGUAGGUGGCCAACUAAGUCAGACGUGAAAGCCCCCGGCUCAACCGGGGAACUGCGUCCUAAACUGCGGGGCUGGAGUGAGGUAGGGGUGUGUGGAACUUCCAGUGGAGCGGUGAAAUGUGUUGAUAUUGGAAGGAACGCCGGUGGCGAAAGCGACACACUGGGCCUUGUCUGACGCUGAGGCACGAAAGCCAGGGGAGCAAACGGG